UGAUCCAGGUGAUGAGUGAUACGUCUAUGUCCAUUUUAACCAGCGUCUCGCGUAGUAACCCUGCCUGGAUGGUGUUGAAGGCUGAUGAAAAGUCAAAGAAAAGGAUGAGGACAAUGGUGUCAGGUUGUCAGGGGAUCAGUAGGCCUUCUGCAGCACAUAUAUAAAUGCAUCAUCCACUGGGGGGCAGGUGUUACGGCAAACUGGAGAGGUUCCUGGACUACAUCCACCUGAGUCCUCAGAUGUACCAGAACCAGCCUCUUCAUAACCUUCAUAAUGUGAGAGGUCAGAGUUAAAGGUCUAUAGUCGUUCAAGUACUUUUGGAACAACCUCCUUUGGUACUGGGACCAAGCACCAUAUUUUCCAUAGUUCUGGUACUUUAUGGAGUUUCAGGCUCACAUUAAAGAGGUACUGCUGACUCCAUUUAACUGACCUGAACAUGUCUUUAGGACCUUCGGGCUGAUAUUGUCGGACCAGGGAUUUUCCCAGGGUGAAGUUUCUCCAGCUCCCUUUUCACCUGAUCAUCAGCAGUAAUCAUAAAACUGCAGGCAGAGAAUUACCUUCACCCAACAGCAUUACUAGACUCACUUUACUGAGCUUGGGAAUGUUGCGUCGGGCGCUCAUGCUGCGUUUAAAGGCGGCUCGGAAAAAACAAUGGAUUAAACAGAAGUAACGACUGAAAAAAAGUGCCGGGCGGGGAGUUGAUUGAGAAGUAGAGGUUUCCCGGCCAAAACGGGAGACUUGACAGAAAACAGAAACAAGAUGAUCUUAUCAAAGACAAAAUACUUAAGGAACCCAAAAUAAUAGUGAAACUCAAAUCAAAUCAAUUCCAAAACGACUCAACAACUCGGGAUCCUAACAGUAAAUACCUAAUGUGACCCAUCGUGUGAUCCAGUUGGCUGCAACAAUGUGCUUUUUUAGUUUAGUUGGUUUUAGUUCCCAGCAGACAGAACUUUUACCACAUGAAACAAAGAUAGGAAAAACUGUUUUUACUGGACUUCUAGAGACGAACUCGAUGUUGACUUGUUGAGAGCAGUUUAUAAUGAGAGUUGAUAUUUACAUGAAACAAGUUUACACCAAGUUUACAACAACCUCUUAAUUAAGGUUGUUGAAAUAAACACGUGCAAUACAUGGGGAUUAUGACUCUGUUAUUUUCUGCUUAAUGAUGAAGUAACAAAACUCAAAUAGACAAAUCACCGCAAGUUCAAAGUUUAAUGGGUUGGAAUUGAGGCGCUCAGCUCGAUCAGCUCCUUCUGCUCCGUGUGCAAAUAAAAGCCACAGGAACGACACCUGGACAGGUAACCGGCAGAGAGUUCAGCUCAAGUUAAGGCAGGACUCUGGCUGGUUCGCUCCAAAAUUUCAGUUUUUAUAAUGACUACUAUAUAUAUACGUAUAUCUGCUCUUCAAAGAGACAUCAAAACAAGUCAGAGCCUGACUAUAUUAUUAUUACAGUCAGAAGCAGAAAUUUCAACAUAGCAACGACUCCAGUUUCAGGUUUUCUUCAUUUCUCAGCUGGCAUCUAAAUUAACUUCUUAUCUAAAAUUAUAUAAUCUAUAGUCUCUACUGAGCAGAACAAAUGAACCAAUGAAUGGAUCUGGUAAUUCACUUCUUCACCACUUUGCUAUGAGUCACUAUGGUGAAUAUGUCAUUGUGAUAAUAAAUGCAUGAUGGUAUUUAAAAAAAAACAAACUUAUUAUGUAUAAAGUUAUUCAUCUGUGCAUUUUUAUAUGCAAAAGAAAAACAAUAAAAACUGUAAUGCUAUUUGUUCAGGUGUUUCUAGGUUUUCAGAAAAUCUGAAACAUAUUAGCAAUAUUAACAUUUUAUGUCAGGUUCCUGUGAAGCAGAACAUGAAUAUCAAUAAAAUGAUAUUAAAGUUGGUGGAUCAUCAGGUUUUUUAUAAAACUGUACAAAUGUCUGAGGUUGGUUUCACAUGGAGUAAUUCAUUUCCUGACGAUGGUGGU